UACGAACUGUGCAAACGUUAUUCGGAUUCACUGGGCUUAAAGGGUGCGUAGGCGGCCAUGUAAGUAGGGUGUGAAAUCCCCCCGGCUUAACCGGGGAACUGCGCCCUAAACUGUGUGGCUUGAGUGAGAUAGGGGUGUGUGGAACUUCCGGUGGAGCGGUGAAAUGUGUUGAUAUCGGAAGGAACGCCGGUGGCGAAAGCGACACACUGGGUCUCAACUGACGCUGAGGCACGAAAGCCAGGGGAGCGAACGGG
rnacentral:rRNA from 1 species